AGUAAAAUCAGCUAAAUAAGCUUUUGGGCCCAUACCCCAAACAUGUCGGCUAAACCCCUUCUUUUACUA
rnacentral:tRNA from 1 species